ACAAGCGGUGGAGCACGUGGUUUAAUUCGAUGCAAACCGAAGAACCUUACCUGGGUUUGACAUACAGGUGGUAGAGCGAAGAGAUUCAAUCGACUCUGCAGUAAUGCAGAGAGCCUGCACAGGUGCUGCAUGGCUGUCGUCAGCUCGUGUCGUGAGAUGUUGGGUUAAGUCCCGCAACGAGCGCAACCCUUAUCUUUAGUUGCCAUCAGUUCGGCUGGGCACUCUAUGGAGACUGCCACCUAAAGUGGAGGAAGGUGGGGAUGACGUCAAGUCAGCAUGGCCCUUACGUCCGGGGCUACACACGUGCUACAAUGGCCGGUACAAAGGGUUGCGAAGCCGUGAGGUGGAGCGAAUCUCAAAAAGCCGGCCUCAGUUCGGAUUGGAGGCUGCAACUCGCCUCCAUGAAGUCGGAAUCGCUAGUAACCGCAGAUCAGCUACGUUGCGGUGAAUACGUUCCCGGGCCUU
rnacentral:rRNA from 1 species